rnacentral:lncRNA from 1 species
AUGCUGAUAAACUAUCCCCUACUGUUUGUGCUGUUUUUCUUUAACAUAAAAAACAUUUUCUACUGCUUAUAUAUCAAUACAAAUAAACAUACAACAAAUAAUCCCUUUUCAAUAGAUACUAUUUUUUAUCAAAAACAGAAGAAAAAACAAAAUCGAAAAUAUGUACAUAAUUUUAUAAACGCACAAAAUAAUAAAAUAAAUAUUAACAUUAAAAAAAAAAAAAAACAUUUAUUGUUAGUUAAUAAACACAAAAAACAUAACAAAAAAAAAAAAACAACAGAAACAACAGAAACAACAGAAACAACAGGAACAACAGGAACAACAGGAACAACAGAAACAACAGGAACAACAGAAACAACAAUAAAUGAAAUUAACAUAAAUAAAAAAUUAUCCCCAAAUAAACACACAUUUAUUAAUUAUGAAAAAAAAGAAGAAAACGACAGUAAUAAUAAAAAAACUGGUAUUGUAAAAUAUACAAACAAAAAUGCCAACGAACAAUUAAAUGAUAAAAAAAAUGAAAAAUAUCAAAAAUAUGUAAAUAAACAACCUAAUAUAUUAAAUUUUAAAAAUUGCAAAGUUAAAAAUGAUGCAAAUAAUGGAACAGACAUAGACACAUUUGAAGAUGAGAAUAAUUUUAUAGAAGAAACAGAUCAAAUAAGAGACAAGUCAUAUAACAUAACGGAUUAUACUAAAAAAAAUGGAGAAAAAAAUAAAGAAGAAGAUGAAAAAAAUGAUCAAAAAAAUAAUGAAGAAACUGGAGAGGAAGAAAGAACAGAUACCAAAAAGGAAGUCGGUGAUGACGACGAAGUAAUAACAGAAGAAAACUUCUUAGAACUUAGUAAAAUGUGCGAAGAAAAUAUGAACAAAGUUUAUAAUUAUUUAAAAAAAGAGUCAUACAGAUUCAAUUUAACAAAUGUUUCGAGUAGUAUGUUCGAAAAUGAAAAAGUUAAAAUAAAUGAACAAAUAUAUGUAAUAAAACAUAUAUGUCAUAUUAAAAAAAAAAAUAAUUUAUUUACUAUUACUCCAUAUGACCCUUAUUUUGUUAAUUUUAUUUAUACCCAUUUUUUAAAAGAAUUUAAAGAAAUAAAUUUUUAUAUAAAAGACAAAUCUGUAUAUGCCGUUAUACCUCCUAUAUCAGAACAGCUAAAAAAUGAAAUAAAAAUAAAAAUAAAAAGUAAAAUAGAAGAUUCGAAAGUGGUAUUACGAAACAUUAGAAAAAAAAUUAUGGAAAAAUUAGAAAAAAUCAAAAAUAAAAUUGGAAAAGAUAUUUAUUUUAAGCAAAAAAAUCUCAUACAAAGUUUGCAUGAUCAAACAAAAAAGAAAAUAGAAAAGAUUUUCGAAGAGUCGAAAUGA